CACCGCGGUUAUACGAGAGACCCAAAUUGAUAACUACCGGCGUAAAGCAUGAUUAGGGAUUCAACCAACUAAAGCCCAACCCACCCCCGCUGUCAUACGCCCCGGAAAAAUGAAAACCCACCACGAAAGUAGCUUUAACAUACCUGAACUCAUGACAACUAAGGAA
rnacentral:rRNA from 1 species